AAUUAUAUUCAGGAUCUUGUUCAAAUGCAAAUUCUUGGGGUGGACCCAAGAUUUUUCAAUUUUAAUAAGCUUCCAGGUGAUAAUUUA
rnacentral:pre_miRNA from 1 species